AGGGGGAUAACUACUGGAAACGGUAGCUAAUACCGCAUAACGUCUUCGGACCAAAGUGGGGGACCUUCGGGCCUCACACCAUCGGAUGUGCCCAGAUGGGAUUAGCUAGUAGGUGGGGUAAUGGCUCACCUAGGCGACGAUCCCUAGCUGGUCUGAGAGGAUGACCAGCCACACUGGAACUGAGACACGGUCCAGACUCCUACGGGAGGCAGCAGUGGGGAAUAUUGCACAAUGGGCGCAAGCCUGAUGCAGCCAUGCCGCGUGUAUGAAGAAGGCCUUCGGGUUGUAAAGUACUUUCAGCGGGGAGGAAGGCGAUAAGGUUAAUAACCUUAUCGAUUGACGUUACCCGCACAACAAGCACCGGCUAACUCCGUGCCAGCAGCCGCGGUAAUACGGAGGGUGCAAGCGUUAAUCGGAAUUACUGGGCGUAAAGCGCACGCAGGCGGUCUGUCAAGUCANAUGUGAAAUCCCCGGGCUUAACCUGGGAACUGCAUUUGAAACUGGCAGGCUAGAGUCUUGUAGAGGGGGGUAGAAUUCCAGGUGUAGCGGUGAAAUGCGUA
rnacentral:rRNA from 1 species